rnacentral:ncRNA from 1 species
UGCGAUGAGUCGAGAAAAGAUUCCAGUGUGAAUCUUUGUAGACGGCCUACGUUAACAGCCGCAUUGCUGGUAGGUGAACGAGAAGUUGUGGAACUU